GAUGAACGCUGGCGGCGUGCCUAAUACAUGCAAGUCGAGCGAACAGAUGAGGAGCUUGCUCCUCUGACGUUAGCGGCGGACGGGUGAGUAACACGUGGAUAACCUACCUAUAAGACUGGGAUAACUUCGGGAAACCGGAGCUAAUACCGGAUAAUAUAUUGAACCGCAUGGUUCAAUAGUGAAAGACGGUUUUGCUGUCACUUAUAGAUGGAUCCGCGCCGCAUUAGCUAGUUGGUAAGGUAACGGCUUACCAAGGCAACGAUGCGUAGCCGACCUGAGAGGGUGUUCGGCCACACUGGGACUGGGACACGGUCCAGACUCCUACGGGAGGCAGCAGUAGGGAAUCUUCCGCAAUGGGCGAAAGCCUGACGGAGCAACGCCGCGUGAGUGAUGAAGGUCUUCGGAUCGUAAAACUCUGUUAUUAGGGAAGAACAAAUGUGUAAGUAACUAUGCACGUCUUGACGGUACCUAAUCAGAAAGCCACGGCUAACUACGUG
rnacentral:rRNA from 1 species